GUAAACGAUGUCGACUUGGAGGUUGUUCCCUUGAGGAGUGGCUUCCGGAGCUAACGCGUUAAGUCGACCGCCUGGGGAGUACGGCCGCAAGGUUAAAACUCAAAUGAAUUGACGGGGGCCCGCACAAGCGGUGGAGCAUGUGGUUUAAUUCGAUGCAACGCGAAGAACCUUACCUGGUCUUGACAUCCACAGAAGUUUUCAGAGAUGAGAACGUGCCUUCGGGAACUGUGAGACAGGUGCUGCAUGGCUGUCGUCAGCUCGUGUUGUGAAAUGUUGGGUUAAGUCCCGCAACGAGCGCAACCCUUAUCCUUUGUUGCCAGCGGUCCGGCCGGGAACUCAAAGGAGACUGCCAGUGAUAAACUGGAGGAAGGUGGGGAUGACGUCAAGUCAUCAUGGCCCUUACGACCAGGGCUACACACGUGCUACAAUGGCAUAUACAAAGAGAAGCGACCUCGCGAGAGCAAGCGGACCUCAUAAAGUAUGUCGUAGUCCGGAUUGGAGUCUGCAACUCGACUCCAUGAAGUCGGAAUCGCUAGUAAUCGUGGAUCAGAAUGCCACGGUGAAUACGUUCCCGGGCCUUGUACACACCGCCCGUCACACCAUGGGAGUGGGUUGCAAAAGAAGUAGGUAGCUUAACCUUCGGGAGGGCGCUUACCACUUUGUGAUUCAUGACUGGGGUGAAGUCGUAACAAGGUAACCGUAGGGGAACCUGCGGUUGGAUCACCUCCUUACCUUAAAGAA
rnacentral:rRNA from 1 species